rnacentral:tRNA from 1 species
GUCGGGAUGGCCGAGCGGUCUAAGGCUCUGCGUUCAGGUCGCAGUCUCCCUGGAGGCGUUGGAUCCAAUCCCACUUCUGACA